CGCGUAGGCGGCCUUGUAAGUUGGGGGUGAAAGCCCGUGGCUCAACCACGGAAUUGCCUUCGAUACUGCUUGGCUUGAGUGUGGUAGAGGUUGGUGGAACUGCGAGUGUAGAGGUGAAAUUCGUAGAUAUUCGCAAGAACACCGGUGGCGAAGGCGGCCAACUGGACCAUCACUGACGCUGAGGCGCGAAAGCGUGGGGAGCAAACAGGAUUAGAUACCCCCGUA
rnacentral:rRNA from 1 species